rnacentral:misc_RNA from 1 species
GAUGAAGAACGUAGCGAAAUGCGAUAAGUAAUGUGAAUUGCAGAAUUCAGUGAAUCAUCGAAUCUUUGAACGCACCUUGCGCCCUUUGGACAUUCCGAAGGGCAUGCCUGUUUGAGUAUCAUGAACACCUCAACUCUCACGGCUUGUCCGUGAUGAGCUUGGACUUUGGGGGUCUUGCCGGCCUGUGGUCGGCUCCUCUCGAAUGGAUCAGCUUGCCAGUGUUUGGUGGCAUCACAGGUGUGAUAACUAUCUGCGCUUGUGGUUUUCCAUCAGAUAACCUUCAGUGAUAUGGAGGUUCGCUGGAGCUCACAAAUGUCUCUCCUUAGUGAGGACAGCUCUUUGAACGUUUGAUCUCAAAUCAGGUAGGACUACCCGCUGAACUUAAGCAUAUCAAUAAGCGGAGGA